CAGAUGAUAACAGUAAGUGGCUGAACUACGUGUAACCCACCAUGUGGAUUGACAUCACCCAACCUGACCAGACGCUGAUGAACAAGAAGAGUCCACUGAUCACUUGCUUGGAUGUCACAGCACUGACAACUAAAGUUACUAAAUUCUGAGAUGACCUAGGGCAAAUCAUCCUGGACCCAGCUUUCAAGUAUUCUGCCUCAAGUCUUCUCCAGAACAAGAUGAGAGAAAUCCAACCUAAAAUAACUAAAAAUGACAAGACAGGGAAAUAACUUUAUAUUUGGAAUAAUUUAAAUCUCAGAAAAACUGCAAAAAUAUCAUACAGAACUUUAAAUACCCUUCAUCCAGAUUUCCCAAAUAUAAUCAACUUGGGUCUCCCUCUGUUGCCCAGGCUGGAGUGCAAUGAUGCAAUCUCAGCUUACUGCAAUCUGCACAUCCCGGGCUCAAAUGAUCCUCCUGCCUCAGCCUCCCAAGUAGCUGGGACUACAGGCAUGUGCCACCAUGCUUGGCUAAUGUUUGUAUUUUUUGUAGGGACGGGGUUUUGCCAUAUUGCCCAGGCUGGUCUUGAACUCCCAGACUCAAGCGAUCCACCUGCCUCAGCCUCCCAAAGUGCUAGGAUUACAGGCAUGAGCCACUGUGCCCAGCCAACAAUGUCUUUUUUUCAAGUGCAGAAUUCUACAUUGCAUUUAAGCUUAGUAUCUCUUUAGUCUUUUUCAAUCUGGAACAGUUCCUCAGUCUUUGUGUUUCUUAACCUUGAAACGCUUGAAGAAUACUAACCAGCUAUUGUAUAGAAGUAUCUCAAUUUGAGUUUGUCUGAUAUUUUCUCAUGAUAAAGAUUGAGAUUAUUCAUUUUUAGGAAGAAUACCAUGGAAGUUACGUUGCAACCUCAGUGCAUUAUAUCAAUAGACACACGUCAAUAUGUCUCAUUGCUCGGGACGUGAGCUUUGAUCACUCAGUCAAGGUGAUAUUUACAAGGUUUCUCUACUGAAAAAUUACUUUUCCUUUGUAAAUAGUAUUUUGUGGGAUGAUAUGUUGAAACCAUGCAAAUAUGCUAUUUCUCAUCAUACUUCCACCCACUAAUUUUAGCGUCUAUCAAUACUUAUUGCCUGCAAUAAUUAUUACUGUGGUGUUUAGCAAAUGGUGAGUUUCUAUUUCCACCAUGCAUCCUACAUGUAUUUACUGGAAUUCUACAGUAAGGAAGAGCUGUUCCAUCUCUCUGAUUUGUUCAAUUAUUUCUCUAUAUCACUAUGGACUCCCACAUAUUUAUUCUAUGUACUAUAAUCCAUUAUUAUUAUUUUAUAUUUUUUACUAAACUUAUUCCAGAUUUGGCCAUUGGGAGAUCCUUCAAGUUAAUUCCUGUGUCCCUCUGACACGCCUCCAUUAUUUUUUGAAUAACUUCCUCAUUCUCUGGCACCUAUGCUCAUCUUGUAACUCCAGCCCUGGAAUGAGCCCUUUCUCCAAGGAGACUCAUGUGAUUGGAAAGUUCAAGGCAGUGAAUCAAAGGGUUCAAGUGAUUUCAUUAAGAGUUCAAAUCUUUUUCUCAAACUCUUGACUCUGCUUGUCUCAGCUUCAUUCUUAGGCAAAAGCCUGCAUAUGGUGGCUAAGAUGGCAACUAAUCAUUGCCCUUACUACUAUUUUUCCUAAGAAAAUAAAGAGAAAAUGCCUUUCCUUUUGCAAAAGUCUCAAGGAAAAGUCAAAUUUACACAACUUGGGUCAUAUGCCUGUCCUGAUUCAAUUAUUUUGGCCAGGAAACUUGGGUAUUCUGCCCCUAGGUGAGUAUAAUAUGACCACCCUUGGACAGGGCACAGAAGAGGAGUUCAGUCUAUAGGAACCACAUGGCACAGGUUUUCCUCAAGAAAAGUGGGCUUUAAUAUGAUAUAGAUGGGCUUCCACAUGUAUAUCUUACAAAGUUCUUUGCUUAGUAUAGCACAUAGUGAACACUAAGCAAUGACUUUUCCACCUACUCAUCACAUCGCCACCAACCCAAGGCAGACAAUACAAGGGUGAAAUAAAAUUCAUAUAACUGAAAUUGGUUACUUGUUGGCAAUGCUGCCAAAAGGUUUUUGAAGUAAAAAGACCAGUAUAGCAUUAUAGUGUGGGUGUCUAAACCCUUAUCUACAACAAAAGUUUACCUCAAAUGUCCCAGAACUACUAUUCUAGUAAUUGUAUGUGGGUGGAUGUGCACGUAUAUGUGUGCAUGCAUAUGUAUAACAUUCAGAUCCACAGUUUUCAAAGACUUAGAGGUAGUGUGGCAGAACAAAAAUAAUAUGGGCUUUGGAUACAACCAGAUCUCAGUUCCAUCUUUGCUACUUACUGUGUAACUAGGGUGUUAUUUAGUUUCCCUGAAUUUGUUUCACCGGUGAAAUAUAGAAUACCUACCUCACAUACAUGAGGAUUCAAUGACAUAACGCAUAGAUAGCACUUGACACAAUAGUUAAAUGCAUUAAAAAUUUUUAGAAUAAAAUAUAGGCAACUAAACUGGCAUGGAUUUUGUUUUUCUUCAACAAUAAUACAGGCAUCUCAGAAUUUCUAAAACAGCAUUAUAAGCAUCAGCUCUUAUGGUAUUAAAAAUGGAAAUUACCAGUUAAAGUUUGCUGAGCAUGUUAUUUUCUUUUUUAUGAUGCCUUUAAACAUACAAGCAAAGAAACAAUAACAACAGUAAAAACAAGAGUGCAGAAAAGGAAAAAAACAACAGACUGAAAAGGUAAUUACAGAACGGGAGAAAAUGCCUGUAAAGCAUACAUCAGAUAAGGGGUUAAUUUACAAAAUAUACAAAGAAUUAUUAUAAGUUGAUAGCAAAAAAAAAAAAAAAACUAGUCAUGAUUUUUAGAUGGGUUUAAAACUUGAAUAGAUAGUUCUCCAAAUAAGACAUGCAAAUGGCCAAUAGGUAUAUGAAAAGAUGCUCAAGAUCACUAAUCAUCAGGGAAAUACAAAGAAAACCCAUCAUGAGAUAUCACCUCACACCUAUUAGAAUAGCUAGGCUCAAAAAACAAAAGACAACUCAUGUUGGAUAAGAUGUGGAAAAAUUGGAACCCUUGUACAUUAUUAGCAAGAAAGCAAAAUGAUGCAACCACCAUGAAAAACAGUAUAGAGAUUCCUCAAAAAAUUAAAAAUAGAACUACCAUAUGAUCCAGGAAUUCAACUUUGGAUAUUUAUCCAAAAGAAUUGAAAUCAGGAUCUCAAAUAGAUAUUAGCACUCCCAUGUUCAUUGCAGCACUAUUCACAAUAGCUAAGCCAUGGAAACAAUCUAACUGUCCAUCAACAGAAGAAUGGAUAAAGAAAAUGUGGUAUAUACAUACAGUCAAUUAUUAUUCAGCUUAAAAAAGAGGAAAUCCUGCAAUAUGAGGUAACAUGGAUAGAUCCUGAGGACAUUAUGCUAAGUGAAAUAAGCCAGUCACAGAAAAACAAAUCUGCAUGAUUCCAUUUAUAAGAGCAAUCUAAAGUAGUGCAACUCAUGUAAGAGAGAGUAGAAUGACAGCUGCCAGAGGCUAGAAGGAAGGGGAAAUAGGAGUUGCUUAUCAAUGGCCAUAAAGUCUGUUAUACAGGAUGAAUAAGUUCUUGAUAUCUGCUGUACAACAUUAUCCCUAUAAUUAAUAAUACUGAAUUGUACACUCAGAAAUUUAUGAAGAGGUUAGACUUCAUGCCAAGUAUUCUUACCACAAUAAAAUAAAAUAAAAUCAGCAAGUAGACUAAGGAAGCCAAAGCCCCAGUUUCACAUGUGAAUGGAGCAGUGGGGCAGGGAUUACAUCUACUGUUAUGGCAGCCACGACACAAAAGGGCACCACUUUAUUAAAAAUCACUCUCACAAUUGCUCCAUACUCAGAACACCUUCAGUGCUUUCUUAGCACUUGUUUAUGUUGUUAUGACUGUGACUUCAUAAGGCUGCUUUUUAAAAUAAAUAAGCCAGAAUAUAAAUCCAACUAAAUGUCAUCUCCUUCAAAAUAGUCACAGAGAAAAGACCUAUACUUGUUUCAAUGAUAUCCCAAACAUCUAUGUCAAAAUCUUCAGUUACUAACACUUUCUCCCUUAAGAGUCAUUUUUUUAAUGAAUUAAAAUUCAUUUAAGUCAAGAUUGAGAAGGUGAAUGAUCAGAUUCAAUGUACCUGUUUGGGCUGACAACAAUAAGGUAAUAAUAAAAGAAAAUAACUGAUUUUCACAUGACAUACUAUGAGGCUAUUAAAAAGAAUGGAGCAAAAACAUUCCAUGCUCAUGAAUAGGAAGAAUCAAUAUUGUGAAAAUGGCCAUACUGCCCAAAGCAAUUUAUAGAUUCAGUGCUAUUCCCAUUAAACUACCAUUGACAUUCUUCAUAGAAUUAGAAAAAAACUACUUUAAAAUUCAUGUGGAACCAAAAA
rnacentral:lncRNA from 10 species